GAUGUGUAGCCGGGCUGAGAGGUUGAACGGCCACAUUGGGACCGAGACACGGCCCAAACUCCUACGGGAGGCAGCAGUAGGGAAUUUUCGGCAAUGGAGGAAACUCUGACCGAGCAACGCCGCGUGAACGAUGAAGUAUUUCGGUACGUAAAGUUCUUUUAUUAGGGAAGAAUAAAUGAUGGAAAAAUCAUUCUGACGGUACCUAAUGAAUAAGCCCCGGCUAACUAUGUGCCAGCAGCCGCGGUAAUACAUAGGGGGCAAGCGUUAUCCGGAAUUAUUGGGCGUAAAGGGUGCGUAGGCGGUUAAAUAAGUUUAUGGUCUAAGUGCAAUGCUUAACAUUGUGAUGCUAUAAAAACUGUUUAACUAGAGUAAGAUAGAGGCAAGUGGAAUUCCAUGUGUAGUGGUAAAAUGCGUAAAUAUAUGGAGGAACACCAGUAGCGAAGGCGGCUUGCUGGGUCUUUACUGACGCUGAGGCACGAAAGCGUGGGGAGCAAACAGGAUUAGAUACCCUGGUAGUCCACGCCGUAAACGAUGAGUACUAAAUGUUGGGUAAAACCAGUGUUGAAGUUAUCACAUUAAGUACUCCGCCUGAGUAGUACGUACGCAAGUAUGAAACUUAAAGGAAUUGACGGGACUCCGCACAAGCGGUGGAUCAUGUUGUUUAAUUCGAAGGUACCCGAAAAACCUCACCAGGUCUUGACAUGCUUCUGCAAAGCUGUAGAAACACAGUGGAGGUUAUCAGUUGCACAGGUGGUGCAUGGUUGUCGUCAGCUCGUGUCGUGAGAUGUUGGGUUAAGUCCCGCAACGAGCGCAACCCUUAUUGUUGGUUGCCAGCACGUAAUGGUGGGGACUUUAGCAAGACUGCCAGUGAUAAAUUGGAGGAAGGUGGGGACGACGUCAAAUCAUCAUGCCCCUUAUGACCUGGGCUACAAACGUGAUACAAUGGCUGUUACAAAGGG
rnacentral:rRNA from 1 species